AGAGAGGCUACAGACGUGGACAAAGUUGCUCAGUCCUGAGCGCAGGACCAGGAUUCAUUCCGAGCUCCUGGUUUUCCAUUUUAUUCAGCGCCUCUUGACUCACGGUGAAAUUGGGGAAGUUGUGUUGGUUUUGAUGGCGCCCUUAGCUUGUGUGCACGUGAGUGGUGCGGGUGCAUGCCAGGCUGGUUCUGAGCGGCCAGGUGGGUCCCCAGGCAGUGAGUGUGCCCCACAGCCCACCCCUUGGGUGUCCCUGGGCACAGAGUCAUCCUCAGCUGGGCCUGACACUGUGAGAUGAAGACAGUGUGUGCUCUCCUCUCAGUGCGGGCCCUGCUCCAGUAGCUGGUCCCCAGCAAAGACUUACAACAUUGGGCUGGAAUCCCUGCCCUGUCUUGUCAUCCUUUCUGUCCUAAACCUGAAUCCUGCAGUACCGUCUGCCAUCGUGUCUUAGAAACUGUCCCUCAGUGAGGAGGACCGUUGUCCUGUCACUUUCUAUAAGGCCUCUCUACCAUUGGCCUGGGAGAGAACCAGGCCCUCAGACGCUCCCAAGCUGC
rnacentral:lncRNA from 1 species